UGUCAAAGAACUCUAACACGACAGGCAAAGACAAUGUAUAGUCUUGACCAACAGACUUUGCUACCAUGAACUCUGCUUUUCCCCCCACUACGUUUCCUCAAAUCUGACCUUCUUCACUAUUUUGGCUUAAGACUUCAUUCUUCAGGGUGCAAAGAAGAUAUACUAACUCGCAGGGUUUCAUGGGCUCUGGUCCUGGAUGUCCACACCACAGACUUGUUAGUUUGAACUCGGUUUCUUGUUGAAAAAUGAAAGUAGUUCUGCUGGCAGGAAAAUGUGGUUGUGACACAGAGAGUAACUCCUUCGAUAAGGUGCAUCCUGUCUCAGUCCUCCUAUCUGAGAAAGUCCUCCAGCAAUAAUACCUCAGUAGGCCAUGAAAGGGAGCCAAGGGAACAGCCUUUAAUGAACAGGAGAUAAGCACUGCAGGAGCACAGAACGGAGAGGUUGAGACAAGCUUGGAGCCACCACAUCCCAAUUCCACUACACCUCACCACCCGCAUGCAAGGGACAUAGAGCUAGGACUGCCAUGCUCUGCUCAGUGACAGCCCUUCUGUCCCAGGUCACCUCCCUGGUGACUGAGAGUGGGAUGCAUCCUUACUGCAGCCUCUGAAUCCUGAGUGAGACUCGGUGAUGCUGUACUGCUCUCCUGACAGUCUUGAAUCCAAUGCUUCCCUCCCAGUUGUGUGUCAUGGUGCAUUGCCUCAUGUGGGAACUGCUCAUGUGGGAAAAGCAUUUUCUGGAAGUGCUACUAGCUUUUAAUUUCUCACAUUGUGUGGGCAUACCUAGUUGUUGCCAAUGCAAGAGUCAACACCCUGGAGUUUUGUUGUAUGCGGACAAGGCCUUUCCCAUUUAUUUGAACCCUUUUCUGAAGGAUGAGCCACAUUGUGCCAAGGCUUUCAGAUACUGCAAAAUGACAGCAGGCAAUAUGCUCCAGAGGUAUAAGAUAAAUAUUGUCCAUAGACCUGCACGGGAGGGUGGUCAUCUCACAUGGGCUGUAUGAGCAGGAAGAUGCCAUGUGUUAAAUAGAUGAGAAACUGUGGCUUGUGUCAGGAGGCCCUUCUUGUUAUGAGGAGCUAAGUGUUCUGGGCUAACAAAUUCUAUGCAACUGCAUGUGCCACCUUAUGCACAUCAUGGACAUGGAAGGUCUAUGCCAGUGUGAUGGUCUGUACAAUGUGAAUAUAAGGUGGUCCCUACCAACUGACCAUGGAUGGAUAUUUGUUCCUUUAAAGAUUUCAAAGUCUGCAUGAAGAAAAUCAUGGAAGCAAACCAAAUGGUUUUCUUAUAAACUAAAUACCAAAAUUUUAUUUUUGAGGAUUAUUUCAUCCUAUAUUAAUAGAAAUGUUAUCCAAAGAAGGCAAAAAAAAGUUAAUCAUUACUUAAAUCUAUUGUGUUUCUGGUUUGAGUUCAAAAGAAGGCAUCGAGAAAAAUAAGAGGACUGUGUUGAAAUUACUACUGUUGUUAUUAAAACAACUCUUUUGAGCCUGUGUCUACAUUGGAGGGAGUAAUAAACAUUUCAAAAAUUAAGGACUGAUUUACAAAGGCUGAGCAACUGUAUUAAGAAUUUCAAAGGAGCUCAUGUUCUAUUCAAACUAUGAUUAAUCUGUCUUUUGUUCUUAAAUUUAAAUGCUAUCAAUUUUAAUUUUAGGAAAUGUUACUAUAGAACCAGGAGUAAAGCCAAUACACUAUUAUUUUCCCUGUACAAUAUCACUUCAGGUGGUCAGGUUUGGCACAGGGAAAGUGUGAUUAUGCUUUGUUUAUCUACUAUAGCAUUUUUAGGAAAAU